AUGUGCCAUACAGAGGACGAAGAGCAUUUAGCACAACUUGAGACUGAAUUCCUUAUGACACUCUCUCUGUCCCAUGCCCAUCAGCCCGAAAGUCAGUUUGCCUGCUGUAUUUGUAGUCAUUGUUUUCCUUCUGGACUGUUCAGAGAGGAAAAGGUCAAUGUUGGAUGUGUGCCAAAGAAGGUGAUGUGGAACACGGCGGUGCACGCAGAGUUUGUCCAUGACCACGCUGACUAUGGCUUUGAAACUGCGGGUGUCAAGUUCAACUGGAGAACAAUCAAGGAGAAGCGAGACGCGUAUGUGCAGCGCCUCAAUGACAUCUACGAGAACAAUGUGAAGAAGGCUCACAUUGACAUCAUCCGGGGCUAUGGCAAGUUCACCGCUGAUCCCGAGCCAACCAUCGAAGUGAACGGGAAAAAGUACACGGCUCCUCACAUCCUUAUAGCCACGGGAGGGCGCCCAGCUGUCCCUUCCGACAGCGAAAUUCCUGGUGCCAGCCUGGGGAUGACCAGUGACGGCUUCUUCGACCUGGAGGAGCUGCCCAGGCGCAGCGUCGUCGUCGGGGCCGGCUACAUCGCGGUGGAGAUGGUGGGGAUCCUCUCCACGCUGGGCUCCAAGUCCUCGCUGCUCAUCCGCCACGACAAGGUGCUGCGAACCUUUGACUCCCUGAUCAGCUCCAACUGCACCCAGGAGCUGGAGAACACCGGGGUGGAUGUCUGGAAGCACACACAGGUCAAGAGGGUCACCAAGUCUCCGUGUGGGCUGCUGGAUGUGACAGUGGCCUCAGUGGCACCUGGCCACAAGCCGACAGAGGCGGUGAUUCGGGAUGUGGACUGCCUGCUGUGGGCCGUGGGGCGGGAGCCCAGCUCUGACGGGCUGGGCCUGGAGCGAGUGGUGAGAUUUGGGGUUCCAUUGGGUCUCCAGAGGCUGUCACAGGGGCCCCACGAGCCCUCCCAUCCCUGCUGGAGCAUAUGUGUCUGCUGUUUGCCAUGGCAGGGUGUGCGGGUGGAUGCCAAGGGCCACGUGGUGGUGGAUGAAUACCAGAACACCACCAGGAGAGGGAUCUACGCCGUUGGGGAUGUGUGUGGGAGAGCCCUCCUCACCCCAGGUACUGCAGCCCUGCCCCCUCCCCUGCUCAGCUCUGUGGUGCCACAUGGCUCAGGGUCCCUGUCCCUCCCUGUCCCUGCAGUGGCCAUUGCAGCUGGCAGGAAGCUGGCCCACAGGCUCUUCGAGGGCAGGCAGGAUUCCCGGCUGGACUACGAGAACAUCCCCACGGUCGUCUUCAGCCACCCACCCAUCGGCACCGUGGGGCUCACUGAAGAGGAGGCUGUGGCCAUACAUGGGAAGGACAAGGUGAAGAUCUACAACACAUCCUUCACUCCCCUGUACCACGCUGUCACCCAGAGGAAGGUGAAGUGUGUCAUGAAGCUGGUGUGCACUGGCAAGGAGGAGAAGAUGGUGCCGCCGGCAUUCCAAAGAGAUGGAAGCAUCCUGGGACACGGAUCGGCCCUGCCGCUCAUGGAGCCGUUUUUAAAACUAAAAGGACAAUAUUCUGCAAUGAAUCCGUGAUGAGGAUUCCAUGCUGAUGUUCCACGGGGAAUGGGGGAAGCAGAAAGCGAUCCCCUGCAAGUCUCAGUUCCCUGCAAGUCUCACUUCCCUGCGCUGUGGAUAUUUUGUUGCUUCCAUGAGUAACACUUUUUCAUCUGAAGCUCCUUGGAUUCCAAAGUGAACUCGCCACCUUUUGGGCUUCCAGGCAGAGGGAAUGUGAAUAUAGGGAAGUGAUGGGGAGACAAAACUGCAGCGGUGUGUGUGUGCAGGGAGAGCUGGGGUAGGAAUUCUAGACAAAAUCCUCUUAUCUGGAUGCAUGAUCCUCUCUUGCUCUGAGGUUUCUCUGUCUGUGGCUUUUUAGUGCAUCCAGCUCCAUGUCCCCAGUCCAACAUCCUGGAUUCUGGGAUUUCAUCUGCUGCAUCACACAGGGCAAAACUGCUGUGUGUGGCUGGAACUUCUCAGCCUCCAUUUACAGCACAUGAUGAUGCCAUACAGAGUUGUUACAAUUCCACGCGGAGUUAUGCUGGAAAACAAUUUGUUGGUUUCAAUUGAUAUUGGGAUAUUUGUUUGUUGUCUCAAAUUUAAAUGAUUUGUUAAAGGAUUAAUUUUUAAACUAUGCCAGGAAUCAAAAGGGGAGUGUAAAAACAGAGAAUUUAUUCUUAUUAAGGAAUGAUUCCUACAUCCAUGAAAUCAUUAGUUGGAAGCCUGUUCUCCUAGAAUCUGUCUUUGGAAUGCUGCUUUUCUUUCCAGAAAAACCUGAUGCAGAGGCAGUUCCUGAUGUAAAAGCUGGAAUCUCUGGAGAGCCUGGACCUGAAUGCUGGAGCUCAGCAGGUAGGAGCAGAGUCUGGGAGAUGCCACUGCUGGGAGCACUCGGAGCUCUGGGGGAAUCUGGAUUCUGAUGGAUGGGGGCGUGUCAGGCGUGGCCCCUGCAGAAGUAACUGUGACUUCCUGACCCUUGUAAUGAGCUUCCCAAGGCCAAGGGAUGCCUCAAGCAGAGCAGGGAGGCUCUGCAAUGGAACAUAGCCCAGAAACUCUUCCAGCCGGGCACCCCCCAAAGCCCCGGGGCUUGGCGCCUGGCUUUGGGCUGGGCUCUCGGCUCCCUCCUUCCUCCUGUCCCUCCUCCCUGCCUGAGGCAGGAGCCGCAGGGGCUGCGGGAGCAAAGGCUGCAGCCUCUCCUCGCUGCUGCCUGCGGAGCCAGAGGCGGCGGCGGAGCUGUAAGCGGGAUCAAACCCCAGCAC